GCGGCCGUUCUAUUAAAUCUGUUUUGGAAAUACGCGAGAUUUCACCCGUGCCUGUGAACGCCGCAGUCAUCGUCUCGUAUAUAAAUCGACCGUGAAAACGAGCGGCAGAAGUAUAUAUGCUAAACGCCCCCCCUCCCCUUUUCUCCCCGAAAACCACUAGGGAAACGAGGAUUUGAUAAAUUAUAGGAGUUCCGCGGUGCGGUAAAAAGCGAUGUGGCAAAUUCCGCGCAAUUGUUAGCGUACUAAUAUUAUUAAUUGGAUGUUUAACGUUAAUGCCGUGACUCUUUGCAACGACAAUAACACGUUCCCAUAUCUGAUGAC